rnacentral:rRNA from 1 species
UACGUAGGGUGCAAGCGUUAAUCGGAAUUACUGGGCGUAAAGAGCUCGUAGGCGGUCUGUUGCGUCGGCUGUGAAAACCCGGGGCUCAACCCCGGGCCUGCAGCCGAUACGGGCAGACUAGAGUUCGGCAGGGGAGACUGGAAUUCCUGGUGUAGCGGUGAAAUGCGCAGAUAUCAGGAGGAACACCGGUGGCGAAGGCGGCCAGCUAGACCAGUUCUGACACUGAGGCGCGACAGCGUGGGGAGCAAACAGG